GCCAUCUCAACAUAAUUCCAAUAGCAACCUUCGGCUUUUAUUCAUCAAUCCAUAGCUUUAUACAUAUCGCUUUAAAGCAUAGUACAUUAAUAUUUUCUGAAUUGAACAACCCCAACAUACAUUAUAACCCAACAUGCUCCUCUCACUAGCUAAUAUGCCCAGAAAUGAGAUGCUUCUCUUAGUAAGCUGAUAUGCCAAACUUCUUCUAUAAGAGUGCAAAUGAUGAUGCUGAUGCUUUACUUCUAUGCUUAGCUCAGAGGCUUUAAAUUUGAAAUCAAAAGAAGUAAGGGGGAUGAGACCUAAGUCUUAGUGAGUGAAUAAUCCAUCUAACUAUGGAG
rnacentral:lncRNA from 1 species